UUACGGCCACAUCAGCUUGAAACACAGGUUCCCGUACAAUCACCGAAUUUAAGCAACAUCGAAUCUGAUUAGUACUUGGUGGGUAACCACUAGGGAAUACCAGGUGCUGUAAG